AGAGUUUGAUUCUGGCUCAGAACGAACGCUGGCGGCGUGGAUAAGACAUGCAAGUCGAACGCUGAUUGCGGGGUAGCAAUAUUCCGUGGUCGGAGUGGCGCAAGGGUGCGUAACACGUGGGUAAUCCACCGUAAAGACUGGAAUAACCCCGAGAAAUCGGGGCUAAUACCGGAUGUGGAUUUUAGGAGGCCUCUUCUGAAAUCUGAAGCUGGGGACCGCAAGGCCUGGCGCUUUACGAUGAACCCGCGGCCUAUCAGCUAGUUGGCGGGGUAACGGCCCACCAAGGCGAAGACGGGUAGCUGGUCUGAGAGGACGACCAGCCACACUGGAACUGAGACACGGUCCAGACACCUACGGGUGGCAGCAGUCGAGAAUCUUUCACAAUGGGGGAAACCCUGAUGGAGCGACGCCGCGUGGGGGAUGACGGUCUUCGGAUUGUAAACCCCUGUCAUUUGUGACCAAGGUUGCCGGUUAAAUAGACCGGCAGUCUGAUGGUAGCGAAAGAGGAAGGGACGGCUAACUCUGUGCCAGCAGCCGCGGUAAUACAGAGGUCCCAAGCGUUGUUCGGAUUCACUGGGCGUAAAGGGUGCGUAGGUGGUAGGGUAAGUCUGAUGUGAAAUCUCCGAGCUCAACUCGGAAACUGCAUCGGAUACCAUUCAACUAGAGGAUUGGAGGGGGGACUGGAAUUCUCGGUGUAGCAGUGAAAUGCGUAGAUAUCGAGAGGAACACCAGUGGCGAAGGCGAGUCCCUGGACAAUUCCUGACACUGAGGCACGAAAGCUAGGGGAGCAAACAGGAUUAGACACCCUGGUAGUCCUAGCCGUAAACGGUGCACGUUUGCUGUAAUCGGAAUCGACCCCGAUUGUGGCGUAGCUAACGCGUUAAACGUGCCGCCUGGGGAGUACGGUCGCAAGAUUAAAACUCAAAGAAAUUGACGGGGGCCUGCACAAGCGGUGGAGUAUGUGGCUCAAUUCGAUUCAACGCGAAGAACCUUACCUGCCCUUGACAUUGACAGAACCCUGGAGAGAUCCGGGGGUGCCUUCGGGCCUGGAAAACAGGUGCUGCAUGGCUGUCGUCAGCUCGUGUCGUGAGAUGUUGGGUCAAGUCCCGCAACGAGCGCAACCCCUGUGUUCUGUUGCCACCCCUACGAGAGUAGGGAGCACUCUGGACAGACUGCCUCGCUUAAACGAGGAGGAAGGUGGGGAUGACGUCAAGUCAGUAUGGCCCUUACGGCCAGGGCUGCACACGUACUACAAUGCCUGGCACAAAGGGAAGCAAGAUCGCAAGAUGGAGCAAAUCCCCAAAAACCAGGCUCAGUUCAGAUUGUCGUCUGCAACUCGACGGCAUGAAGCUGGAAUCGCUAGUAAUGGCGCAUCAGCUACGGCGCCGUGAAUACGUUCCCAGGCCUUGUACACACCGCCCGUCACAUCAUGAAAGCCGGUUGUACCCGAAGUCGCUGUGCCAACCCGCAAGGGAGGUAGGUGCCGAAGGUAUGGCUGGUGAUUGGGAUGAAGUCGAAACAAGGUA
rnacentral:rRNA from 1 species